rnacentral:lncRNA from 1 species
UGGAGCGCAUAAUCUCCCAGCUCAAUUAAUGAGCUCAAAUCUGACGGUCCUAGUUUUUUUGAAUUUUUAAUUUUCUGAUUUAAUUUCUUUUAUUUCAUUUUAUUUCAAAAAUUCAUAUCUCUCUUAUUUUUUAUCCAAAAAUUAUGGGACCAAUUGCAUUAGUCUCCAAAUAAUUUCUAGUUUCUAUUUCUGAUUUUUAAUAUUUUUUAUUUUGUCAUUUGAUAUUUUUAAUUCAUUUUAAAUAGUUUUUGAUAUUCAAAAAAUACAAAAAUAUUUUCCUAACCUGUUUGAAUGAUGAU